CUGCAGCACUGAACUGAAAGUAAUAAGCAAUAGGAUGAGAAGGAAUGCCCUCAAGUUGCGCCAGGAAAGGUUUAGAGUGGAUAUUAGGAAGCAUUUCUUUCCAGAAGGGGUUGUCAGGCGUUGGAAUGGGCUGC